UACGGAGGGUGCGAGCGUUGUCCGGAAUCAUUGGGCGUAAAGGGCGCGUAGGUGGCGGCGUCAGCGUGCGGUGAAAGCUCGGGGCUCAACCCCGAGUCGGCCGUGCGAACUGCGUCGCUGGAGCACUGUAGAGGCAGGCGGAAUUCCGGGUGUAGCGGUGGAAUGCGUAGAGAUCCGGAAGAACACCGGUGGCGAAGGCGGCCUGCUGGGCAGUGGCUGACACUGAGGCGCGACAGCGUGGGGAGCAAACAGG
rnacentral:rRNA from 1 species